UGAUGGAUAGGAUGGUUUUCAUGGAGAGUAAAGGAUUACCUCAGAGAAUUUAAUGCUUUUGUUCAGCAACAUUUUACAAGUCAAAUGCAAGAAUCAAGCACAAGGAUAACACAUGGAAUGGAAACAGAACAAUCGUCCCCAUACACUGGGCAUUGAGUUUAAGAAAUCACUGGGCUGCAGUUGUUGCACAUUCCUGAAAUUCUAAGAUCGCAAUUGAAAAAUAACCAAGGAUGAUUUUUGCGUCGGAGACAUCAAUCAUUGAGCAAUUCGAUGAUUUCUUAAUCCAGUGCUUCUCAUAUUCAUCUUGACAUAUUGCAGAAGAAUUGGCCUAUGUUUUUCUGACUCGUUGCUUCAAAAGCUAACUUCUAUGGAGAGUUCAAAAGCUAACUGUCAGGAGCACUUUGGUUUCAGGCAAAGAUUGUCUACACAAACCUUGUCAAAAACUUGUAAAAAAUGCAGAGCUAAAAAAACCUCACUGCCUAUCCUGGACAGAUUGGAAUGUUCAGUAACAAAUAGAAGUAGAGAAGAUAUCAAGACAAUGACUACAAUCUGAUGAUGUAUGCAUGUGAAUGUGAUUUAUUGAAAUCAGACCUAGGAAAUUUUGUGCAUAUUCAAGUCUACGUGAUCAUGAGUGAUUUAGUUUGCUGGGUUUGAAGAACUUUGCAUGGAAUUUCACUUCCCUUCAACAAUUAGAGAUGCCCAAGAUUGACUUCUCUGCCUUUGUUGGCUAUUGGUGGGUGUGUAGAGACAAGAAUUGAGUGAGAGGAACAUGAGGAGAGUGAAAAGUGUGUAGAGAUCUAUUCGGGCUGAUUGUAGGCAGCAGAUAAAAUAGGACAUUUCGUCUUCAUUCUUUAUGGUUAAAUCAUGGAUUGGAGCUCUCCAAACCCCAAAAAAAGAAAAAGCUCCAACAAUUUUCUAUUAUGUUUAAUUUCAUUUUGUGCAUCUGCUGUAAGAACUUGGAGGAGGUGUUUAAAAU